GGGAGAGCGGCUCGGGUACCUGAGAAGUGUCCUCAUCGUAUUUUAGGUCAGUUUUGCCUUUUCGGAGUUACUUAGAGGCUUCUCUGCCUCCUGCUUUGCGUCCCCCGAUCCGGGCGGGGCGUGGGGCCGCGUCGCCAGUGCUUUUGUCGCCGUUCGUUGUCCGCGUUCCGUGGAGUGGGUUUGAAUCCUGCGGGAACCCUGAGCUCCGGAGGCGGGUGCUUAGCUGCGGAGCGCGGUGCUGAUUUGUGUCCUGGAGGUUUUAUUGCUCCGUGUCUUGAAAAACAAGCUGCAGGUGCAGGCCUGGGGAAGUCUCCUGUCUGGACAGUGGGAAGAGAGCAACGCAGAAGGACACCGGCUCACUAGUGCCUUUACAUUGGUUUGGCUUUAGCUGUGCAGCACUGAUUGCUUCUGGUGGGAUCAUUGGCUAUGCAAAAGCAGAUUCAACUAAGAAGUCUUGAUUGGCCACCUACGAUGUGCAGGAACCAUGAUAAGAGCCAAGGAUAUAAAGUUGCAUAAGAACCUUUCCUUUCUCAGUACAGUGAAGACACCUGUAUUUUUUUUUUUUUUUUAAUGGUGGUUGUUAUUCUGAGUUCUGGAGAUACAAGAAUGAAAAGACCUGUUCCUACUCAACAACAAUGACAAAACCCAAUUAAAGAAUAGGGAAGUGACUUGAAAUAGACAUUCUCCAAGGAAGACAUACAAACUAACAAGCUGGUUAAAGGGCAGUAUCAUUAAGCAGCUAUCAGCACAGGGGCUACAAGAGGACAAUGGAGGGGCAAGUAAAUCAGACUUGGAGGAAGGGAAGAAAUUUCAGAAAAGAUUAUACUGCAGCCAAGGUUUUUUUUAAAUUUUGGUUCUGAGGUAAACAUGAAGAAGGAUGUUAGCCAUUCUACUGCAGAAACUAGGCAGUGAUACAAAAACAACUGUUUUUCGCUAAACUCUCCAGUCUAUAGACUUCUCCAACUGGGCAAAUCAAGACUCUGCUGACAGAGAGAUUUCUCCUAGAGAGCAUGCAGGGGUAUAGGUGCACGGCCAUCCAGUGGUAAGAUGGGGGGUGCCAAUCAAUUGUUUUUCAUGUGCUCCUUCUAAGCCACUACUGGAAGAUUUGGAGGCUUUUGAGGGGAAGGAAAUGACCCAAAGUUAAUCAAUGAUGGUGGCCAAAAGAGAUGGGCAGAAGUUUUGUUUAACGCCCCCCAAGGAGAGAUGCCACCUAUAUUGCAUAUGUGUUUUUCUAAGGAGCACUAACUAAUAUUUGUGCAAGUCUGUGUAAGUAUACUCUGUGAUGUUCGCACAAUGAUGAAAUCACCUAAUGAUGCAUUUGUCAGAAUAUGUCCCCAAGGUUAAGCAUCAUAUGACUAUACUUAAAAAUAGUAAAGAUGGUAAAUUUUGUGUUCCAUGGAUUUUACCACAGUUUUUUUUUAAAAAGACCUGUCCUCUAUCUUCGGACUGCUUAUAUUUCUGUGCUAGUAAGGUGACUUACCAAUCCUCCAUCCAAGGUCUUUCACCGCUCUUCUGUUUAGAUGCUUCAUCCCCACAUAGGUGAGAUGUCUUCUGUGUGGAAGAAGGUUUUCUGCCUCUUCCAUAAACAUGCUUCUUUAAUUUACAGAUCAGAGACCAGAGGCUUAGUGAAGGAGACUUGCUCAGUGUCAGAAAAUUACCACAGAGCCCAGGAAGGCCCCGAUGCUCACUUGAAAGCAUUGUUCUUUUUCAUCUGGAAGGGGCCUUUGAUUACACUGUCCUCAGCACUCAUAGAGCCAUCAGCUCAGACAAACGCACUGGCAGUCAGUGCCAGGCAAAAUAGCAUGAUCUUACUCCAGGACCAAACUCAUCAGGGCCUUCCUCCUAGCUCUUAUGUUCAGACAAAGCAGGUCUCCAGGAAGAAUGUCUCAUUCCCCAAAUCCUCUUACCGUCUCCUUGAGAUGGAGUUCAAGAGCUCUCUUGGCUGUGCAUCCCCACCCCAGCCUUUAUGCUGGUGGUAGCAGAGUCAGAAGAGAGCCACCACCUUCUCUUCUUGAGUCUUCACCUCUUCUUUGAGCAAGUUGCUCAGAAAUACUCAGAGCCACUGAGGCUCAGAGUUAGAAACAGAGAUGGGUCUUCCUCCUUCUUUGAAUAAUGAUAUCCAGAAGUGGUCCAUCUUAGAGGGCUUGAGUGCCACCAAGAUACAGGCAGGAAAGGGGGGAAAGAGAGAAAGA